UACGUAGGGUGCGAGCGUUAAUCGGAAUUACUGGGCGUAAAGGGUGCGCAGGCGGCGUCGCAAGUCAGGCGUGAAAUCCCCGGGCUUAACCUGGGAACUGCACUUGAAACUACGAUGCUGGAGUAUGGCAGAGGGAGGUGGAAUUCCACGUGUAGCGGUGAAAUGCGUAGAGAUGUGGAGGAACACCGAUGGCGAAGGCAGCCUCCUGGGCCAAUACUGACGCUCAUGCACGAAAGCGUGGGGAGCAAACAGG
rnacentral:rRNA from 3 species